rnacentral:rRNA from 1 species
UACGUAGGGGGCUAGCGUUGUCCGGAUUUAUUGGGCGUAAAGAGCGUGUAGGCGGCCAUACAGGUCCGUUGUGAAAACUCGAGGCUUAACCUCGAGACGUCGAUGGAAACCGUAUGGCUAGAGUCCGGGAGAGGAGAGUGGAAUUCCUGGUGUAGCGGUGAAAUGCGCAGAUAUCAGGAAGAACACCCGUGGCGAAAGCGGCUCUCUGGAACGGUACUGACGCUGAGACGCGAAAGCGUGGGGAGCGAACAGG